CUCUCCUCUCUCAAAUUCUCUCUUUGUAGAAACUUUAUUUUUAAAACAGAGCAUCUAAUGGUGGAUGAGUUCGCAGCUAAAGUUGCUAACGGCAUAUGUGGCUAGUCAUGAUAAGAGAUGGAAGACUAAAGACUAGAGAAGAGAGAGAGAGAUGGGAGACAAGAGUGAGCGAGGAGAGAAUUAACGUGUAAUAACAGAAGGGUAAUUUUGGCAAGUGCGAGAGUCUGAUAAAUAAUUAAAACUUUAACGAAAUUGAAUCAUAGAAGCACCCUCCUUCAGCUUGUGAUAAAACACAAUUUUUGCCUUAAUAAGAAAUUAUCACCAUUUGAAGCGGUUUAGGUAAAUCCUAUUUAAAUUGAUUAUUUGGCUCAAAUAAUUGAUUAAUUGAUGAAUCCAAACAGGCAAUAUAUUGAUAAGUCUAGAACGAUAUAAUUCUCAAGUUUAUAAGUUGGCUAUAGGGCACAGGGUCUCUUGGAAAUUAUUUUUCCAUUGAAUAUGACUUCUCAAGGUUUAAUUUGAAACCCAAACCAUGCCAAAUGAUUUUUUAGAAUUAGUUAUGAUUUUUCAAAGUUAAUGUAUAAUUCUAGACUACAAAUUAAUCAAGCAAGAACUUGAGAAUUUACAAGUCCAAAGUUAAUAGGCUUUGUGUUCCAUGAUUGAGCCUUGACUAAGCUUGAAUUUUAAGGGCACUUGCUGCCACCUAAAGCUAGUCUUGAUGGGCCAAAUAAGUCAGGAUGAAGUUUCAAUCCUUUUGAGGCCAAUGAUCCAAUGACAUAAACUUAGGAAGGUUCUAUAGUAAAGUUAAGUUAUGUAACCUCGUGAAUAGUAUCCUAGAAGGUUAGGGAAGUUGUACAAGUAUGUUCACCAAGUAUAGGAGAUUAGUACAUGACAUGUGCUAAUAGUGACUUGAGGUUAAAAUUUAUCUUUUCAUGGCUUCGAAAGUUAUGUAAUGCAUGAAAAUUAAUAUGUAUGAGUCCUAUAAGAGCUCUAACAGGCCUCAAUAACAAGUACUUGGCCAAGAGUAUAAGGGUAAGUUUAUGAUUUCUCAAGCUUUAUGUGUAUUAAAGAAUGUGUAUAUGUUGCUUGUGUGUUAUUGGAUUAUGGGUUGUUAAUGAAUGAUACCAAAUCCAAUCACCGCAUGACAAGCUUGAAAGGCAUGUAAGAGAAUUUUAACGACGUUAUGCGUUGAGAGAGAAGUCUUUCUUAAAGCCAUGUGAUUUCAAGUCAAAUGCUAUUUAGAGUUAAAGAUAUAAUGUCAUGUUUAAUCUUAUGAUAUAGUCAAGUGUCCAUAUGCCAGUAUGGGUCGCCUAAUUAGUCCCUAAGUUAAGUUAGGCCAGGGUAGAUUAGGGAGCAUUCUUUAAUUAAAGUUUUAUGUUGAUGUUAACUCUAGUAUUAAAUUUUUUUGAUAGGAUUUGAUACUUGUGACAUACCCUGAGGUCAAAGGCUUAAGAGGAAGUAGCUGAGACAAGUAGCAAAUUGCUAUGAAACUCUUAUAUUUAUUUCAUGAGUAUGUUAUAAGAUGAUAUAUUUUCCAUGCAUGAUUGUAAAUGUUAAAUUCAUAAAAUGUUGAUAAUGAUGUUAUGUUGGAUUUUUUGGCCAAUGUGAUUUUUCUAUUAGGAUAGGCUGACACCCAAGAGGGAGUGAAUUAGGUAACACUUAAAAACUUUUAAAAACUUGAAAGAGUGAAGAACUUAAGUGUAUAGGAAGAAGAUGAGACAUACAAGAUUUAUAUUGGUUCAGUCUCAAACUUGGCCUAUGUCCAAGUCUCAAAGUCACACUUGAGAUUUUCAAUUAAGUUCACAAGUUUCAAUGGGUGCUUGUCUCCAUACUACAACUCUUGAGACUUAACUUGUCUUGAAUUACUUAAAAACCUUGCUACAAUCUAGAAAGUUAUUACAAACACUUGAAAAAUACUUUUAUAAGAUUUCUAAAGAAAUAAAAUAGCUUUUGCAUAAAACUCUUUUAAAUGGUAAAUGGGAUUACAAUUAAAAGCUUAUAAACUUAUGAGAGCUUUGCACAAUUCUUUUCAUGAAUAAUCAAUGAAUGCAAGAUGUAAAAGCAUAAUUUGAAAGUUUUUCAAAUGCUCAAAUAAUGAUUAGUUCGCUCAAAGAUCAUUAGUUCUUGUUAUGGCUCAAAAUGAAUAACAUAUAUAGUUUUGGUAGUUGAUAGACCAUUGGAGCAGUGAUUCUAUAUGUUGGUACAAUUUUUUGUAAGUGACUGGCAGAAUCACGCAUAAAAUUACACUUAGAUUGUUCCAAAAAUGUAUAUGUGAUAAAUCACGCGUGAACCUCUUGACCUCUCACGCAUGGUUUUGUACUUAUGAAUAAGCAUUCAGUUUUGUGUGCUAAAACUUGUAUGGUACCUCUUUGCUCUCACCCGUGGUUUUGCAUUUGUGAAUAUGCUUACAUAUUAUAGUGCUAAAUCUUGUGAGUGAACCAUUAGCUCUCACACGUGGUUUUGCACAUAAGAAAUCAUCAUCAGUUUUGUGUCAUAAAUCAUGCUUGGAACCUCUUUCCUCUCAUGUAUGAAAUGGCUAGCAAAAUGCCAAAGCUAAUUUUUGUUAUCAAAACUUGCGUGAUCACCUUCUGGCUUCACGCGUGAAAUGGCAAGCAAUAAUACACAAACUUGUUUGGGAGUAUUUUCACAUGUGGAACUACACAUGACUCAAGCAAGAUUUUGUAUAAUCAAGAAAUAUAAAUUUUUGAAUCAAUGAUCAUACAAGUGAAUAAUUUUAACUUGGCUUGAGAUGACUUAAGGCUCAACAAAGAAAAAUGUGAUUGUGCAAUAAGUGAUAAAUCACAUGUGGCUACCAUCAGACUCACGUGUCAAACAACACUUUGGCACAAUAUAAUGAAGUAUAGUUUCUAAAACUUGUGUGGACAAUAAUGGCUCUCACACAUGAUUUUGCAUGCAAAAACAAAGCUUAAGGCAUACAUAACACAAGUGAUAAAUCACGCAUGAAUCACUUCCUGACUCUUACAUGAUCUAACAGUUAGUGUGCCUAACCUACAAAAUCUCUUGAGUGACCUGCAGAAUCACGCAUGAUUCUACUUCUCACACUACAAAUAGCUUCUAUGUAUUUCAACACAUAAGAAAGACAUUGUUUGCAAGCUUUAAUACACUUAAAUGAAUCUUAAUGCAUAUAAAUGAGAAAUAUGAUGCAUUCAUUUAAAUGAUUAUGAAAAGUAAUUAAGCUCUCAAAGCUUUCACAUUGAAUCUAAGAGAAUUUAAAUAACUUAACCUUAACAUCUUCAACGUCACUUGAUUCUUCAGGCUCUUGAGGUUUUGUCUUUAUCUAUGAUUCUUUGUAUUUGUACUUAUGACAAAUACCUCUUCUCUUAGUUUUGUAAUCAUCAAAACAUGUGAUCCAACAUUUUCAUGCUAUGAUUAUGAUGUUAUCUACAUGGCUUUGAAUGUUUGUGAAAGUAUAUCAUGCUUUAAGUACUUGAGUUAUAAUUCACUUGAAUCUCAUCCCCUCUAACUAACCUUUCAAGCACCAAUGAGGCUAAUAAAGAAAAUGUUGAAGUAAAAGUUGGGUGGUGAUCAUUCACAUAUUUUACAUAUUAAAACACUUAAUUUUUGGUAUCAAAUUGUGCAUAUUAGGGUUUCAUUCUCGAUUUUGAGCUAUCUUUUUUAUGAUGAUCAUAUAAACCCUGAUCUUGCUAUUUGGUGUUGAAUUGUCACUUCUAAAUCCUAAUUUGAUAUCUUGGGCAUUAUUUCUCUUCUCUUCCUUUUUAAUUCUCCUUUUUAGAAUUUAUUUAGUCUUUGUAUUUUUAUUUUUAGAUUUUAUGAGGGCAAUUUUAGAAUCAAGGAUCAAAGACUAGUCAACUUGCUUGGAGGAAUUAAAAAGGUUGCGAUUAAAUAGAAGAUGGAAAAAUUGGGGUUGUUAGUAUGAUUUCCAGAUUUAAUUGAGGAAGAAUUAAUUAAAUAAAUAUCAAGGAGCAUGGGAAGCAUUGAAAGACACAUCAUCAAGGCCAAAAAGGAGCAUGAAUGGCAUGAUUCUUGAUUAGAUUUUAGGGAGUUUAUGUGGCAGCUGAAUAUGAGCCAAGGAAGAGUCACAUUUUCCACACAUGUUCACAUGUCUCUUGUCACAUUUUCCACCUCAUUUUUAGCCCUAUUUUAGAUUUAUUUCCAACCAUUUUCUAGCUCAUUAUCUAGCCAUUUCAGAUAUGGAUUUGCCUUGUUUUUACUACCAUUCAUUUUGGUUUUAUCACCAUUCACAUUUUUCACACAUACUUAAUCCCUUCAUUUUCAUUUUAGCUUCAUUCAUUCACUUUCUCUUCAGCUUACUUUCUCCAGAUUUUCUCUCUUCCUCAUCCUUUGAAUUUCGUCCAGCACUUCUUGUCCACUUUCCAGAUUUGAUUCAUCAUCUUCCAUCAUCAUCAUCUCGUUCCAAUCAAUUCCUUCUUCACUCAGUCAGAUUUUCAUUCUCUUCUCUUUUUUAGCAUCAACUUGUCCAACAUUCAAGCAUUUUUCCAGAUUUCUACUUCAUCUUCAUUCAUCAUUCAUGGAGGUCAUUCAAGCUCAAGAACUCAAUGAAGUCUUGGAGAGAAGCAUGAGUGGCUGAAUCUUCAUUGAGCUCCAAGAAAGAUGAACUUGUGAUUUGAGAUUUUCAAUUUUGUUUCCCUCACUUGUAGUUUCAAUUCUUCAAUUUCUUCUACUUUCUUUGAGGAUUUCAAAAUUCUAUACCUAGUUAGGAUUAUGAUUUUGAUUCCAUUUUCUUGUUAAGUUGAAGUUGUAGAUGUUGAAUUGAAACUUAUAAUUGUGUUUCAGUUCUGGAAUUUAUGAAUUCAUUUAAAUGGGUUCAUAUGUUCUUAGUAUUCUUGUUUAGAUUUCUCUUUAUCUCAAGCUAGAUCCAUAUAGGUUUAUAUGAAUUUGGUUUAAGAAGAUUUUCCACCACUUAAUUGGUCUGAAUUAUGCGUGAAUGAAUAACGCUGAAUCACAUUAUUAUUCUUGAUUCACUUGGCUUAAAAACUUAGGUGAUCAUUGGGUUUAAUGAUUCACUACACUUUGAAGGUUUUGAAGUGUUCUUCAUUAAGCUAAUUGUGAUUACUUAUGUGGUUUCAAAUAUGGAAUUCAAGGAUUAUCACAAGGGAUUUUAACUUGGGCUCAUCAUCUCAUUCGUUCAUUUCAUCACAUCUAAAUCUAAGAAUAUAAACAUCUACUUCUUGCACUUUAGACAUUCUUAUAGCUUGUUGGCAAUUGGUUUAAAAUUUGUAUGCAUUUGCUCUCUUAGGAGAUGACCUAGAAUGCUUCCAACUACAUUCUAGUUUUUAUUGAUGGCCUAAAGCGACUUAAGGCUACAUCAGGUGGCUUACAAGUAGAUAGAAGUUUAUUACUAGCUAAGUUUGUGUGUAAUUAGGGAAUACUUAGUCCACCUAUCCUUUGAACAUUAAGUUGCCAUAUAGGUUAUGACAUAAAGAUAUUAUGAUUUUUAUUGAUGACUAUAUCUCUAUAAAUAAAUACAUCACAAUGUUAUAGUGCAUAAACGCGCACAAUGAGAGAAAGAGAGUAAGAGACAAUACUAAAAGUAAGAAAGAAAGAGAUAAGAAAGAUAAAGAUGAAAAUCUCACUAAGGCUCAAAGGACAUGAUUAAGAGUAAAAGAAGAGUAUUUUUAAAAAUUUAUCUUGAGAUAGAUAAUGAUUGAUUACCCUUGUCUAUUUUGUCUAAGUAUGCCAUUCAUCAUAUAUAUAUAUAUAUAUAUAUAUAAAGAUGGGUUUUAAUUAAUCAAGAAACAGAAGGGUAUGGUUUUAAAGAAUAGUUAAGAAAAAAGUUUAUUUUUAAAAAGUUCCACUAUGUAUGCUUUGUAAGUGCUCUUUUAUUAACCUUGUAUUAUUUAUUGGCAUACUUAGAUUUGCUUUUCACACUUUUUGGCCACAUCUUUUCAAGUUUACAAUUUGCUUAUGACAUUGUCAAAUAUUAUUUUUACUCCACCGCUUAACAUGAAACUCAACAAUAACCAUCAAGGUGGGAUUUCAAGUUUUUUUUUUAAAUAUCAAGCAAACACAUCAUAAGAAAUUCAGUCCUAAACAGAUAAAAAAAAGGAGGAUAUUAUGUUUUUAGACAAUUUAAAAAAAGAACUCUUAUGCUUGGUGCUAUGCGUGUUGAUCCCUGUGCCACGCGCUGUGGCUCAAGUGCCAUGCACCGCAGCGUGUUGUAUGAAAAAUCAACAGAUUCUGCUAUCAUUUGACAGUAGAAUUGGGGAACUUCCAACGAGUCCCUAUUCUCUGUCCAACGUCUAAAUGAAGUGAUCUAAGUGUCUACAGAAAGCUUUUUUCAUGAAUUAGUUAGUGGCAUGGGUUUCAUUUUCAAAAUGAGUCACAUAAGGAAGUUAGACACCCAAACAGAUUUUAAUCACCUUUCACAAAUUUCACACAAAAAGGGUGUUCAAAAAAAGCAUUUCCUAACAUCUGAACCAUGUCCAUUAGACCUAAGACUAUCAAUACAACACGUCUCACGCACUAAAACACAAGUAUAGCAUAAAUUCACUCUUCAACCCCUUUUGACAAAAAUAGAGGGGGAGGCAAAUGUCUAUUGCAUUACAUUAAAAAUCAUUAUAACAUGUCUAAAACAUCAUUUCUACAUUUGCACUAGUAUUUUGGCCCUAUAAACAUAUACAUCUCAGCAUACACCAAUACUCAGAGCCCAAAAUACAAAUCAAACAUUUGUAACAAUAAAAUAGUGCAAGUGUGAUGGCGUGCAACCUAGAAUUGGCAAUCAUAUUCUAUUACACAAAAUAAGUAGAUAUAAGAGGCAUACUAAAGGAAUGCAUAAUGUAACAUCCUAAGUUUCCUCAUUAGUAAUUAUCAGUGUUUUCAAGGGUAAUUUGGUCAAUUUAGAUAAAUUGUUAUUUAACGAGGUUUAUGGAGACUAAUAUGGUUUUUGGAUCCUUGGACAACCAUAGAAGAGGGCUAGGUCAAGGUUCAAGCGAGCCAUGGCAUGAAAGAAAGUUUAAAAUUUCGUGGGGCUUUCUGUGCCAUGCGCCACAGCGGGCGUGUAAAAUUUGCACUUAUUAGAUCACGAAAACAGACUAAAAACAGAAGAGAUAAAGAGAGAAAAUGAGAGAGUGAUGGAGGAGAGUUUAUGGUCUACUAGGGCACGAUCUUUAGGCUACUUUGAGGGCAUUUGGAGCUUGAAUCACCAUUGGGUAAGUUGUACAUUCCCUCUUCUCCCUCUUUUAUGCGAAAAUCUAAACAUUUGGGGUAAUUGGGGCUUUGAUUUCGGUUCCCUUGGAUUUAGACUAAACCCAUUGGUUUAUUUAAGAUUUUGGAAAGUUAAAUCAAGCUUCUAACCUUAAGUUUAAAUCAAGGUUCAAGCGAGCCAUGGCAUGAAAGAAAGUUUAAAAUUUCGUGGGGCUUUCUGUGCCAUGCGCCGCGGCGGGCGUGUAAAAUUUGCACUUAUUAGAUCGCGAAAACAGACUAAAAACAGAAGAGAUAAAGAGAGAAAAUGAGAGAGUGAUGGAGGAGAGUUUAUGGUCUACUAGGGCACGAUCUUUAGGCUACUUUGAGGGCAUUUGGAGCUUGAAUCACCAUUGGGUAAGUUGUACAUUCCCUCUUCUCCCUCUUUUAUGCGAAAAUCUAAACAUUUGGGGUAAUUGGGGCUUUGAUUUCGGUUCCCUUGGAUUUAGACUAAACCCAUUGGUUUAUUUAAGAUUUUGGAAAGUUAAAUCAAGCUUCUAACCUUAAGUUUAUGAGUUUUGUGGUGAUUGAAAAUUUUUGGUAAGGGUUUGGAUGAACCCUAAGUAUAAUUUGAGGAUUUUCAGACAAUGGGGGAUAUUGGUCAGUGAAUUUGGUGUGUUGGAAUGUUUAAUAGGAUGGUUGGAGUUUUUGAGAAUGGUUAAUGUUGUUAGAAAAGGAAUUUGGGUAUUUUAAACAUUUAGAACCUAGUGAAUUUGGGGUUAUCCAGAGUGGUAAUUGACGAUGGUCACUUAUUAGUGUAGAUUGAACGUUGCUCGAGCCUUAUUGUGGAUAUAGAACAUGUGGAGCUAACGUUGAGUCACGGUAACCCUUUUUGUGUGACAAAGGGUUGAGGUAACCAUAUAGUUUAUUGUGUUUAUUAACUAUUGUAACUGUGUAGAAGUAAUUUUAAAUGAUAACGUUGUGGUUUUGAAGAGUUUUGUGCAUAAUUUGACAUUGUAAAUGAUUUUACCAUGAAAAAGUGUUUUGUAAAUGGUUAUUGUUUCUAAUUGAAAUAUAUAUACUAUGUAUAUAAGUGUGAUGUGAAAAUGUGAUGAAAAGUAGUGGAAAUUGUGAAAGAGCAUGAUCAUAGGGGGUAGGAGUUCACCUGAGAUAUGUGGAUAUAUGUGUGUGUGGAGAUAUGUGAGUGAAAAAUUUAUAUGGUCGGGCUUACACCAUGGGACAUCCAGUGCAGCAUUUUAUGUGACUAUUACUAUGGGACAUCCGGGCAGUCUGGCAACUCCCUCGUACCUGUUAGGGUGCGGUUAGGAAUCAACAACGCUUUUAUCACAAGUGUGUGAAGAGGGAAAAACCAUAGUUCGUAGGUAGGUUAGAUUAUCUUUGGCCAGGUAUUUCUACCACCGAAAUUGCGCUCGGGUUAAUAAGUGGUUGAAUCAAGAGAGCCUAUGGUUUCAUGUUGGGGAGCAUUGGAGGUUUGGUGGUUAGAUGAUCAUGCUAGUGUAAAACCAUGUGUUUUGUUGAGAAAAGAUACACUUGUCUCGUAAUUAUGAUAUGCUUGUUGUUACUAUGGUUUUGAUACUUUUUUAUGGUUAUUUGUGGUAAUAAACAUUUGAUGAGCAAUAUUGGUUACUGAGAUGUUUAUCUCACCCCAUGAUUAUAUUGUACAGGUGAGGGCUUUGUAGGGGCAAGGGGAAGGAAGGAGCAUUUGAAGAGUGAAGAGCAUCAUUGAUUUUAUUGAUCUUGUGAGCAAGGAUAGUAGUUUAGUUGGAAAAUCUGAAUUGGAUAUUUAUUUGGAAGAGGCCAAAGUUGAUGCUCAAGCAUUUCCAAAGUUGGAUGUUCUAGGCUAUUGGAAGAGUAAUGAAUAUCGAUUUCUUCAUCUUUCAAGAAUGGCAUGUGAUAUAUUAAGCAUUCCUAUUACUACAAUCGCUAGUGAAUCAACAUUUAAUAUUGGCUCUCAUGUUUUGACAAAGUAUAGAUCUUGUCUUCUUCCAAAAAAUGUUGAGGCUCUCAUUUGCUCUCUCAUUUAGUUACUUGGUUUCAAAAUAGAUGACAAUGAUGAUGAAGAUGGUGAGGAAGAAUCAACAAACGAUAUUAUUUAUGGUCAAUGAUUAAUAUCUAAUGAUAUGAAGUUUAAUAGAUGAAAUGGAAGAUUGUGAUCAGGGUUUUGUAGAUUCAUUUUGUGUGAUAUGGUGAUAUGGUAGAAUAGAUCUAGGUCAUAGGUUCAUGACUUUGAUAAUUUAAUUUUUGACAGGCAUGGCUUGGCUUAGAUCAAUUCAUAUAUUUUGUUAUUUUGUACUAAUAUUAUGGGUUAAUACUUAAUAUUUUGCAUUUUGGUGUAUCUAGAGACUAGAACUACUAAACUAGAAUGAAUCAUGAAGGUGAAAGAACAUCACAAUGAAGUUGGAACUCGUCAUUUUUCA